rnacentral:rRNA from 1 species
UGGGGAAUUUUGGACAAUGGGCGCAAGCCUGAUCCAGCCAUGCCGCGUGCGGGAAGAAGGCCUUCGGGUUGUAAACCGCUUUUGUCAGGGAAGAAAUCCUUUGAGCUAAUACCCCGGGGGGAUGACGGUACCUGAAGAAUAAGCACCGGCUAACUACGUGCCAGCAGCCGCGGUAAUACGUAGGGUGCGAUCGUUAAUCGGAAUUACUGUGCGUAAAGCGUGCGCAGGCGGUUAUGUAAGACAGAUGUGAAAUCCCCGGGCUCGACCUGGGAACUGCAUUUGUGACUGAAUAGCAAGAGUACGGAAGAGGGGGAUGGAAUUCCGCGUGUAGCAGUGAAAUGCGUAGAUAUGCGGAGGAACACCGAAAGCGAAGGCAAUCCACUGGGCCUGUACAGACGCUCAUGCACGAAAGCGUGGAGAGAAAACA